UGUGGCUCAGUGGUAGAGCACUUGCCUCACAUGUAGGAGGAACUGGGUUUGAUUUCUCAGCA
rnacentral:tRNA from 1 species